rnacentral:tRNA from 1 species
AAAUAAGAAACAAUUAUAUGUAUUUAGUUUCGACCUAACCCUUGGUGAUAAAAUUCACCCUUAUUUG